rnacentral:tRNA from 1 species
GCCGAAGUGGCGAAAUGGUAGACGCGCACGCUUCAGGAGCGUGUGGGGCAACCCAUGGAGGUUCAAAUCCUCUCUUCGGCA